rnacentral:rRNA from 1 species
AUUGAACGCUGGCGGAAUGCUUUACACAUGCAAGUCGAACGGCAGCACGGACUUCGGUCUGGUGGCGAGUGGCGAACGGGAGAGUAAUACAUCGGAACGUGCCCAGUCGUGGGGGAUGACGUAGCGAAAGCUACGCUAAUACCGCAUACGAUCUAAGGAUGAAAGCGGGGGAUCGCAAGACCUCGCGCGAUUGGAGCGGCCGAUGGCAGAUUAGGUAGUUGGUGGGGUAAAGGCUCACCAAGCCGACGAUCUGUAGCUGGUCUGAGAGGACGACCAGCCACACUGGGACUGAGACACGGCCCAGACUCCUACGGGAGGCAGCAGUGGGGAAUUUUGGACAAUGGGCGCAAGCCUGAUCCAGCCAUUCCGCGUGCAGGAUGAAGGCCCUCGGGUUGUAAACUGCUUUUGUACGGAACGGAAAGGCUCUGGUUAAUACCUGGGGCUCAUGACGGUACCGUAAGAAUAAGCACCGGCUAACUACGUGCCAGCCGCCGCGGUAA